GCUCUCAACCAAGAUGGUACACCACCCCCUACCCCGUCGUCUAUUUCAAAAGGCAGAAAGCACCGCGACAAUGACUUCCUACGCAUUCACGCCAAGUAUCGUGGCAUUUCCUUGGAACCCGUCCCCAUAUCUGUCUCCGGGCGCUAGCCUAAAAGCCAACAUCAACGCCAACACCAACGCCAACAGCAAGCACGGCAUCAUCGCUCGCACCCCUCGACCCUGCAUAUCACGUAAUAAGGGCUACACAGUACUAAUUUAAAGUAGUCAACUAUGUCAUCUUUCAAAGCUACUACACUUGUCAGUUUUCUCUCUCUCUCUCUCUGUCUCUCUGUCUCUAUUUUUUGUUUACACAAAACCACGCGCGAGUACACCCUGUGCAUUUCUAUUUCACUUCACUUUCACGUCAAAUUGCAAAAGUGUGUUUAUUAUGCGUGCUGUGUGUGCUAAUUCAUUGAUUACGAUUUUAUUGAUAACGCGGGAAGAAGAACAAGUGAUGUAAUAAUUCGUCGUCUCGUGUCGCUUUUGUUUCACGUCAUUCUCUGAGAGAGGAGAAUACGUUAGUACUUUGUAUACUACUAACGUAUUUCAUUUUCUAGGAAUUUUCAUUCGCUAGGAAAUGCAAUGGUUGUCCGUGAAAUUCGUACGUUCCUACUAUAUCUCUUUUUAGGUGUUAGUUCGCGACGCCUGACUUUAUCGUAACAUGGAGAACAUUAUUAAUAUGUUAAGAUGUUAUAGGGAGGGAAAACAUCGUUUCUGCAAUCAGUUGUCAAAGCUUAUGAAAUCGGCCUAUAAAAGUGCGAGUUAACGUUAGAAAUCGAGCCAGCAGUUUAGAAAAUAAAACAAACGACAUAUGUAUUUCUUAAUGAUAUUAACAAUGAAUGAAUUUCUUUUUUAACUAUUCAAAAACA
rnacentral:lncRNA from 1 species